GACGGAGGAUGCAAGUGUUAUCCGGAAUCACUGGGCGUAAAGCGUCUGUAGGUGGUCAAAUAAGUCAACUGUUAAAUCUUGAGGCUCAACCUCAAAAUCGCAGUCGAAACUAUUCGACUAGAGUAUAGUAGGGGUAAAGGGAAUUUCCAGUGGAGCGGUGAAAUGCGUAGAGAUUGGAAAGAACACCGAUGGCGAAGGCACUUUACUGGGUCAUUACUAACGCUGAGAGACGAAAGCUAGGGUAGCAAAUGGG
rnacentral:rRNA from 1 species